GACAAGCAGAGCAUAAGCCCAGCUGCAGGCAUUCAGACAAUCAAGCAGUCUCGCAGGAGUCACAGCAGCUGAAGUUCAUUCCAUUAAUCAUCUGCCUCCAUACAAAAGACUGGUUCACUCACCCGUUCCUCGCCAGAUUGUUAAACUAGACAAGUAAUUGGCUGUCUGGACUCCUGCCUGCAAAAGCUCUGCCUGUCACCUGAACUGACUGCUCAAAAGACGCAGCAAUAUCCCAAGAAAUCCCUCCGGAAUCCUGCACUCCUGAAGCCUCCCCCGGAACAGAGACUGCAGCCGCCACACUCUUCUCCCUCCACCGGGACAGAGACUGCCGCCGAUCCCCCGAAACCAUCAUCAGAACUGAACUCAACUCCAGGUUAACUCCCCUCUCAUGUCAGUUUCCUUCUGCCUCUAGAAAUUUACACCGUUUACGAUAAAUUCUUAAAUUACUUGCAUAUCUGUCCUGGUGGUGUGUUCCUCUGCACGAGUCCGGCCUAAGUGUGUGACAGUCUUGCUUCUUUUUAUUGGAUUUUAGCAUCUUUUUCUGUAGAUUCUGAAUGGAAAAGAAUAAUAUGCUUUUAAUUGUCAUUAUACACACACAGUGUUCAAAGAAAUUAAAAGAUUUUUGCCCCUU